AUAGUACUCCCUCCGUCCGGAAAUACUUGUCAUCAAAAUGGAUAAAAAGAGAUGUAUCUAGAACUAAAAUAUGUCUAGAUACAUCUUCUUUUAUUCAUUUUGAUGACAAGUAUUUUCGGACGGAGGGAGUACAUA
rnacentral:pre_miRNA from 1 species